rnacentral:lncRNA from 1 species
GUGCCGGCCCACGGGCGCUGCUCCUUCGCCCAGGCACGGCCUGAUUAGUAAACGGGCCGGCCCAAUGGCCCGUUUAGCACGCUGGGCUGCACAAAACUUGAGUAAGUAUCAAGUCAAAUACAUUUGGAAAAAACAGGAUGCUACUCCACUGAACUAUACACAUAUCAGCCAGGAUUCAGCCUGCAUUUCGCCUCAUGAGAUCAGCUUGUGUGUUGCCUUGUGUACAGUGCAGAAGAGAUCAGUUUCUUACGAAUUUCUAUAUUUGUCAGGCACAGUUGCGAAGAAAGCCAUAUAUUUCUCAUUUCAAUGGUGAGUAAUUUUCUUUUUGUACCUACAAUGGCAGAAAGUAUUCCGUAAGUAUCCCAAGUAUAUAUAUAACAAAAUGAGUACACGAGGAGAGAAGUGUAUAAUCAAAGGGAGCACAUAACAAAUGAGAAUCAUCUUCUUCAUGCUGUUUUCCACAUAUGGAGUUCAUGAGCAGGAAUACAAAACGGGCUGAUUUUCACUGAACUUGUGUAGAAUCACGUAUUUUGAAAUGGCAAUAAGACAUGGGCCACUACUUGAAACUGUAACCAAUAUUCUUCAGACACCAUACUGAGUUCUUUAGCAACCAUAUGGAGUUCAAACAGACAGAAUAUUGCCUAUCUAUUUCAGGGAUUGCCUAUAUUCUUCAGCAAACCAUACAGAGUUGAAACAGACAGAAUAUUACCUAUCUAGUUCAGGGAUUGCAUAUUUUCUAUCUAGUUCAACCAUAAGAUUUCCUUGACUGUACUGCCGACCCUUGGUAACAUAAAUAUAACAGUAGUGAUCCGUGAUGAAAAACAGACAAUGUCGAUGGUUAACCAAUUAAUAAACCCCUUCACAGUUCAAAGACCACGUUCCCUUAGGACCAAAUAGAGAAUAGGAAAUUUAUUCAAAACCAAUUCUGCAGUACUAAUACGUCAUGGAGAACAGCUAUUGUCAAUAUGUCAACAAUUAAAUCAAUUCACAUGUGUUUUCACCCAGAGAAUCCAAGACAGGAGCAACUAGUCAAGCAGCAUGCACCAACGGAGUAGUUAGAUUAGGAUUGAGAAAUAUUAGUUACUUAUCCGGAAGCUGUCCGCCUUUUGAUGGCUUUUCCGUUCAAAUAAAGAUGGCUCUUGCUAGCCACUGUGUUUUCACCCUCACGCUAUAUCUCAAAUCUUCUCAUUUUCAGUGGACUUCAACCAGGCAAAAGCGAUCUUUCACAGGAUUAUUACAUAAGUAAAUUUUGAUAUCCUAAGCAGAGAAAUACAUAGGUAGGUGGUCACUUAUCACAAGACGAAGUUAAAUUUUUUUGGAAUCAAGAGUAUGUUUCGAUUCAGUUCACCAGCAGUAAGUAUGAGAUUAUUGGUCAACUAUACUUGCAACUAAAGUGGCUCCUAAUUUGCAAUUCUAACUAUUGACCAACUACAACACGUGAGCACAUGCACAGCUAUAUUUGAGUUCCUUGCAGAUUGCAAAAGAAAACACAGACAAGCAAAUAUAACUGGGUCUUUACUCACAUUGAUUAUUAAAGAACCAAUACCGUGCACUAUAGAGAAAUCAAAUUGGAACCUGGUCGCAGCAUCAAUGAUUUAGGCUCUAAACAAAUUUGGCAGGCAACAAGUGGAAGUGUAAUUGCUCAGGUAAAGGCUAAACAUGUUGCACCGCCACUCUUCCUCAGUCAUCAAUAAUUCCUGGUUGAGCUC